ensembl:lncRNA
GCGAAAUCCUGGCACCCAGAGAGCACUCGUUUUCAACCAGAGCCCAGAAACAGCCGUUGUCCCCUGGCAAAAGAGGCCCAGUGCUGAGCCCUGGGCAAGUGUCUCCAGACAUCCCUACCUUUCUCUCCCUUUAUUAAGUCUUCUUUCCCAACAGAACCCAUUUCCUUUGCCACUAAAACUAGGUUGCAUCCAAAAGUUUCUCACAAGCUUAAAAAAGAAAAAUUGACACCAUUAUGCAGAAGAAUUCACAAAAGCUGCAGAGCGCCAGGGCAGAGAAGCAGCGUCAGACACAGGAGCCAAUUAUGUGCAGCCGUGGAGAUACAGAUCCCAUGUCAACACAUUUUCCAGUGUGAGAGUCUUUUAUUUUUGAAUUUUGGGAGGAGGACUGGCUUUACGGGUGUGCGACAUGAGCAAUCCCACAAGAUCCGUUACUUAGAAGGUGUUUUAUCACAGUAUCAGAAAUAAAACUGAGAUACAAUGACAACAACAACAACAACGACGACGACGACGACGACGACGACGACGACGACGACGACGACGACGACGACGACGGCCCCCUCUGCUCCCUUUCUACCAG